CCAACGGCCCUCUUUAGGGCCACCCUAGUUUUGAUUGUUAUGAACU
rfam:Hymenolepis microstoma genomic scaffold, pathogens_HYM_contig_0013